rnacentral:rRNA from 1 species
UACGGGGGGGGCAAGCGUUGUUCGGAAUUACUGGGCGUAAAGGGCUCGUAGGCGGCCAACUAAGUCAGACGUGAAAUCCCCAGGCUCAACCUGGGGACUGCGUCUGAUACUGGAUGGCUUGAAUUCGGGAGAGGGAUGCAGAAUUCCAGGUGUAGCGGUGAAAUGCGUAGAUAUCUGGAGGAAUACCGGUGGCGAAGGCGGCAUCCUGGACCGACAUUGACGCUGAGGAGCGAAAGCUAGGGGAGCAAACGGG